GCGCUGGAGCAGGUGGGCAAAAGGCGUGUGGCGCGGAGGGGUAGGUGUGCGGCGGCAGUGUCAGAGUUAGGUGGUGCUAGGGUUUUUUUUUUCUGAAAAUGUUUUUGGGCCUAUUUUGGGUAUUGGGUUUUGUAAUUGGGUUUGGGUAGUUUAGUUAGGGUUAAUUUUUAGUGUACUGGGCUUAUAGAUUGUUAAUUGAUUUUGGUUUGGUUUAUUUGGUAUGGGCCCGGGCAAAUUUGGGCUUCUACAGCUGCCCCUCUU
rnacentral:lncRNA from 1 species